UCUCUCUCUCACAUUUAUCUUCUCUUUCUAAUUAUCUUUCUUUCUUCAAGGUCGCCAUGUUUUCUUUUCAAUAAUCAACCAACACCAUUAAUCUCUUGCAAUUAAUUGGAGUCUUUUGUCCCUUCAACUGUAUCCAAUACCAGGUCUUGACUUCUACUCAUUGUUUUGUUGUUUUCUAUUCCAAGUUAAUUGUUAUCUCAAUUUUUACAUUCUAAUUGGUGAUGAUGGUGUAAUUUUCUAUUCAUGAGGACACAUAACAUGAGGAAAUUCACUGAUUACAAUUAUUCCUGUUUUCUGAUUGGUACAGGAAAUUCAUCAAAACAAAUGGGGAUUCUAAAUGGAGAAUUUUUUUUUCUCUUUCUAAACAAUUGGUUGAAUUGGCAGAAUUAACAACAAUUAACUUGUUGCAAUUACCCUUAUUACAAUGUUUUCUUUUUUUUGUUCUGUUGUUUCUGAUUCAUUGAAAUUUCCUCGGCUCACUCAACAAAAGAUAAUUACAUUUUAACUUAAUGGAUACUCCUGAUGGUUAUUUAUCAAUUGGUGGAGUUAAAUUAAUGUUUCCACGAAUUCUGUUGAUCAACUAUUAGAACUUUUUUUGAUUUCUAAUUCAGUUUGUUUCGAGAAAACAAAAAUGAUGUUAAAUUGUUACAAUUCUCAAGCAUCUCAUUUGUCAAUUCUCAUGUAACUUUCAUUGGAAAUAGUUGAUCGAUUUCUGAUUGGAUUAUUAAUCAUCAAGGAAAAUGAAUAUUAUUUUAUUGCUGAUAAAUGGCUAAUAAAAUUUUCCACAAUCAACCAUUUGAUUUGUCAAAAUAAUGUUAACAACAAAUUACCCCAAGGGCUUGAACAUUUUCUUAAUCAUUGAAACACCACUAUGACCGGACAUUGAUACAGAUUAGGAUCAAAUUACCGAUGAUAAAUCAUAAAGUAUGGACUAUGCAACUUUGUUAUCCCUAAUCAAUUGAUGACAAAUUGUAUUAAUAAUAAAACAAAGGAUAAACAAUCAAAUAUUCCCAAUGAUGAUGAUGACGAUUGUAACAAUAUUUAAAUUUCACCAAAAUCGUAUUCCUAAUGGACGCAAAAAAAAGCAUUUUGAACGACAAGAUUAUCAACUGUUAUUUUAAUUGAUUUUCAACAAACAUAAUCAACAUAAUCAUCUUGAGAUCCAUGAAGAUACCAAAUUACAAGAAUCAAUUACACACUGGAGAUACUAACAAAGAAAAGGCUUUAAACAAAGAGAAGGCAUCAAAUUGUGAAUCACAUAAUUGGAGAGAUAACCUGAUGAUGAUGAUGAUGAUGAUAAUGGAAUAGUGAACAAAAAAAAAUGGAGGAGGAGGAUAACAAGGAUGAGGAUAAAAGAGGAAGAGACUUGUUAUUAGCCCUGUGGUCCUUUUGUGAAUUGGGAGAAACAAUUAUCUUUUACAAUACAAUUCUGAGUGUGUAAAAGCGUCAAAUCUAAUAGAGACAUUGGAUCCCAUUGAUGAGUAGAUACCCAAUUCAAGAAAAGAAGAAGCAAAAAAACGGUUCAUCAUGAUGAGAAACAGUGGUAACAAUAUUCAGAGAAAGGAGGAGGAUGAUGAGGAUGAGGAUGAGGAAGAUGCGGAAUCAUCUUGAUGAUCAAGCCUGAGGAUGAGCAAAAGGCAAAUGAGGAGGUUGGAGUGAAAGGAAAGUCAAGUGAUGAUGGUGGUGGAAAUGAUGAGCUGAUCGGAAGGCGAUCAUGAUGAUAAUGAUGAGAAAAUUGGAUGAUGAAACAGGAAAGAUGAUCGGAAGGAAUCAUGCAACAAAUAUUUAUGUGAAAAGGUUACAAAAUGGAUGAAGAGAAGAUGAUAAAUGAAGAUAAUAAUGAUUAGAUAUACUCGAUGGUUUCAAAGUUGAUGAUGAUGAUGAUGAUGUUUGUUUUUGGUGAAACUUUUUUAUUUUUAAUUCUGUUUCCGCAAUUUAACGAGUCACAUUCAAUUCUGUUCAUUGAUGCUCAUUCAAAUUAACCUCAUCAUGUUGGUUAUUAUUUUCAAUCAUUAUCUUCACUAAAUUAGACAGUUAAUUUGUUUUCCCUUUUAAUGAUAAUUAACUUUGUAGUUGAUGAAUUUUGGGUGAAAAUGGUUUAUAGUUAAAACUGAUCAGUUUUUUACUUAACUAAUUUUAUCGAUCCAUCAAUCAAAUAGAUGAUUAAUCUUUGAUUGAACUGUUAAUUUAAUUGUUGUUGUUAAGAUGAGUAUGUAUAUAGAUUGAUCUAACUGGAUUAACUAAAUCAUUUUGAUCAAUGAACGUGUAAACAUGUUGUCGAUUUACAAGAAAAGGUCACUAAGGUUAUGAAAAGAUGUUAAAUCAUUUUGUCAGUGAUUAAGUUAAUUGUCCAUUGAUGAUUAGCUGAAAUCUGUUGAAUGAAUUUCCAACUGAUGGACAAAGUUUCGUGUUAAUUUGAACCUAAACAAUUGAAGGUUGAUUAAAUCACGAUACAAUCAAAUUGUAAUUGAUGAUUAAAUCAGAUAUAUAAUCUAUCGUGAUUAAGUGUCUCUAUCAUCAUCUUUAACUUGGAGAGAGACAGAGAGAUUAAUUUAUUAUAAAGGUAAUUAUCUAAUUAACUGAUGAUCAUCAUUGGAACCAGUUGAAUGUUAACUAACAAUACAAUUAACAUGAAAAUGAAUUUUCAAUAAAGGCAAACGGAAAAAGAUGAAGACGAUGACAAAAAUAAAUCAAAAGAAUCAUGAGACGAAUACACGGAAACGGAAAUGAUGCCCAUGGAUGGAAAACAGAAUCAAUAUUAAUAUUGGAAAAUAAAUUCUGUUGAUUCAGUUGAUUAACUGGUUAACAAGAGUAUAGUUUUUUUUUGUUGGAAACUUGUUCCGGUCUCAUCUCAUUGUCUUCAUGAGAGAUUCAGAGAAAUAGGAAACAAUCAUCAUCCAAGUGAUUAGAAUAGUAAAAGCAUCACGAAUGUCCUUUUUUCUCUCUCAUCAUCAUCUUCAUCUUGAUUGUGACAAUAAUAGAGAGAGAGAGAGAAAGAGAGAGGAAGAUGACAAAAAAUAGAUAAAAGUAAAAGUCUAUUUCCUUCCGGUUCAACUUAUCCUUUUUCCCUUCAUCUUGAUCAUCAUUAUAAUCAUCUGAUGAUCUAUUUCAAUAUAAAUGAUAACAAAUUAUUUUAUUCCCAAGGUUUGAUCAUGUUGAUCAAUUGCAAACACGAAAUCAAUUGUUAUCAAGACAAAUUAGUUAAUCCAUUGAAACUAAUUGUUUUCACAAUCAACUAAAUCAUCAAAUGUAACUAACCUUUAUCAUCCUCAUGCCCAUUAACUUGAUCAUUUGGUUACCUUUGUUAUUUGUGUGUAUUAUAACAUUUUCAUUGUAAUAACAAUCAGUUAAUCAACAAAGGUAAGGUGAGACAUGUUUAUGUUAACACUUUGAUUUAACUAAAUCAAAUUAAUCAUUGGCCUUGGAUUAAAGUUAAUAUACAAAACAAUUGAUGGACCAACAUAAUAUGUUAACAAUGAUUAUCAUUUCAAUUGGUAAAUUGAUUUACUUAUACAAGUUAAUUGUUGACCAAUAGAAAGGAAAAUUAUUACUCCAACAAUUUAUUUAAUUUACUUCAAUUUUCUAAUCACAAUUAACUAAUCAACUCUUUUUGAUUGAGAGAAAAAAACUUUUCUAAUUAAGUUCAAAGAAACAAAUUCACUUUGAUUUACAACGUAAACAUAUUGAAAAUACAUCAUCACAAUAAUCAUCCAUUAUCAUCAUUCUGUUAACCAUAAAAGGAUGAAGAUGAUGAAGAUGAAGAUGAAGAUGAAGAUGAAGAUGAAGAUGAUGAUGUUCAUAUUAUCCUAUAGUUAGCAUUGUAUUCAACAGGAACAAAAAAUCAAUUCCUAUAAUAAAGAUGCUCAAUAAUCAAUGAUGAUAAUCAAGACGAAAAUGAAAAAAACAAAAUUUCAUUCAACUGAUUAUCCGAUUGAUGAAUUGACUAGAAACCAAUUGAGAUUAAAUUUUAUAAGAGAUCAAGUUAAUUACUAUGAUUUAGUUAUUAGUAUCAACCAAAUAAUUCAAAUUCAAAUUGUUAAUGAUAUUAAAUUGUUGAUGGUCAGUUUCAAGGUGUGAUGACCAUUGAGAAUGUGCUUGUUUCUCAUCAAUAUCAAUUUUUAUUUACACUGAUUAUCAGAUAGAUGAUUUAAUAGUAAAUC